UUUUAAUAUUUUUAGGACAUAUGAAUUGUAUUUGUACCAAGUUUACAGUCCAUAGCAGUAAUACUCAUUAGUCAAACUUUUUCUUUAGUAUUAACCAAUGUACAUUUGUUAAGAUAAUGUCAAUCUGUGACACACGCAGAGUCUCAUGAUAUCUGUGUUAUAGUGUUUCUGCUCCCCAAGCGACUAAGGAUCAUCUCAGAAAUGACAUGAAAGCCUGGGCAUAAGCAAUGGUAAGAACGUUUUCUGCAACACAGCAGUUCUCUGCUCUCUCCACUCAGCUGAUGUGUUCCUUGAUGGUUUGAAUCAGCAGAGUCUCAGGCUCUGCCAGGGUGUAGCAGUAUGUGCUGCAUGCUCUGCCAGGGUG